UGGUCCGGCCGCGGGCAGAGCGCGGAGGUGGCGCGGGCGAGGCUGCGUGGUUGCGGGACGUCACACCCCGUAACUGGCAGCCGCCGCUCGGUGCUUCUCACCUGAGUCUCUCUUGCCCGGCGGGCUCCCAGCCCCCGCUGCCCGGGCCCCGCGGACCUGCAAACCCCAGGCCCGGCGGAUUUGCCCUUGGCGCUUUUCCGGGCUCGGCAGAGGGGUUCCCGGCUGGGAUCUCUGGGGUCGCGCUGGCGAUAAGCAGCGAAGAAAGGCGAGGCGCUGCUCUCCGAGAGCGAGGAGGCGGGGUGCGCUCGCCGGGGUCGCCGGGGCGCCGCUGGGGAACCCGGGCCAGCGAACCCAAGCGCGAUUUCCGCGGGUCCCGGGCGCAGAGGCCGGGGCUGCCGGCGCUUUGGCCUUGGAUGGAAAGUUGGCAAUGGGGUAGGGGCCUCCUGACCCCCUAACGUGGAUUACUUGGUGCGUCUCGGCCGGGCUCGGAUGACCCACAACCUCGUCUCCAUCCGUGGAUUGAUGCACAUUCUACCUAACAGUCGAGUCCCUUACCUGUAGGUGAAAUCAGAGGUUCGUGACUGACCUGAGUAGGUGCUUUGAACCGAGAAAGAAGGACAAGAUAAAAGGUGAGCUGCACAUAGUAAUCAGGGCACAGCCCUGCUGCUCUUCUUGCUUUGGGGGUUCUGCUCCUUCCACGCCAUACCUGGCUGCCCCGAUAUCCCUACGCACCUGCGUGCCAGCCUGGAGUGCAACUGGCAGGCCGGAGCCUUGCACUGGCCAUCAGAGAGGGUCCAGAGACACAGGCUGGUAAAUUUUAACAGUCAUCAUGAUAAAUUCAGGCCAGGCUGUACUCUCACAGCUUCUACUUAGAUGAACUCAUUCUUACCUCUCACAGCCCAAGCCAGUCAGUCAUGUUACGCCCAACCUACAGAGGAGGAAACCGAGGUCCAGUCACUCCCCCGGGACUGCACAGUUAAUUAGCGAGGGAGCCAGGAUUCAAAGCCAGAGCUGGCACCGGCACUGUGAUCUCUUUCCAUUCCGAGUGACAGUGAAUCGUCCCAGUCGCCGGCGCACCAUGCAUCAGUGUUCCUGCCGCCUGCUCUUUAGACGCGUCGGUCCGAGGCGGGACACAGAUGUCUUGCAUUUUGCGGGGAGAACCAUCAGGGGGACGUGAGUUGGCUGUGGUGGAAACAGGCUGCUCUUUUUCAUGCAGAUGUUCAGAGACUCAGGUUCCUGUCUUAGGACAUCACCAGACCUCUAGCAGUGACACCUCCAGGGAGUAACCGAACCUCAUCUUUAAACUGCUUCGUAAGGUGGUUGCAAGGUUUAGAUGAGUUACUGCAGGUGUGGCACUUAGAAGGGUGCCGGGGACGCGGCACUCGAUAAAUGUGGGCUCUUAGCUCUACCCCCUGAACGUGGAACGGCAUGGACUCGUCUGCCAUGACUCUGGGCUCACGUGAUUUCUGCACCUGGGUAGUAGGAGGCUUCACAUGUGAACUCCGCCACUACAUCUACGUUUCCCCAGUGUGAACAAGGCAUCACUGAAUCUCUCCAGCUGUGGGGAGCCCUUUUGGUUGUUUGCUUUGGUUUGGGGGCUAGAGCUGGGUUGCCAGCCAAGAGUAUAUAUGAUGAUGCCUGGAUACUAGCCCUCGGAACAGUGAUUCUCCUUCUUGGGGACCCUCAGCACCACAUCAGCUUCAUCUGACUCUAAUACCAGUCAGGUGUUUUCUCCCCAAGUCCAGGUUCUCUCCAGAACUUUUCAGUUGCCUCGACUGACUGAGAAAGCCCUACAGAAUACUCAAUCAGUCGUACACAUUGGGUUCUUGAAGCCCUUCCCGUGGCCUCCUCUACCCGGGCAGAGAAAGGAGCUGAUCUCACAAGCCAGGCAGCCUUCUCCCCAUUUCCACACCUAGGUUUCAAAUCACACCCUUCUUCUCCACUGCAGACCAACAAGCUCCUCUCUCAGCCCCCCGGCCGGGUGUGGGUUCUUGUAGCUGUGAGACCUCAGUCGCUCAGGAUUCUGGCACCAGCUCGUCUGUUCUGUCUUCAGCUCUCCUGGCACCGCCGGAGAAUGGAAAAGCUGGUCUGUUUACAGGACAUGGGGCCAGAACAGCAUUAAAAACUAAGGAACAAAUAAAAUGUGGUAAACAAAUUUCCUUUCCAGUAAGGAGUGUUCCUAGCCCGGUCCUUCAACAGGAACCAUUUUCCUCAUGUGUUUGGAUAAACGUUCAUUCUGGGCAAUUUCCAUUCCCAGGAGGGGCUGCCGAUUUCCGUUGGCUAUUUAUUUUGACUUUGACCGUUUCUCCCCCUUCUGAGCACCACACACCUAAUAGUAAAGAAACUCUGCUCCCUCUCGGGGCACUGGGAGCAACCCCCCAAGCCUGCCUUCUCUCGUCUCUUCCAUCACCCCUUCACUUCCAGACAAGGCAAGGACAUGGCGGGCAUCUUGCCCUGGAUGGAAGCUGUUCUCCGGGGAGAAGGAAGGAGGCAAGGAGGUGAAGCAGAGGAGAGAAAUGGUUUCAAAUAAAAGCUGGAACAGAUACAAAGGUUUAUGUGUGGGUGACCGUCUCUCUGAGAAAGCUCUUCAGCAUGAAUCCCCCUUCCCAGCAGCCCAUCUCUGGGCAGAGCUUACGGAGGCAAGGUAGCAGCACCUGGAACUGUUUUCCGUCUUGCAAAGUGACAUAGGCAACCGACGUUUAAAAAUUCCCGAGUCCAACAGAAAGCCCUUUUGCAGCAAAUACCCGCUUUGGUGAUGUGUGCCGCCCAUGGACUCAUGACACAGCAGGCCAGGCUGCGUGGGUGCAGAAUGACCUCGGAUGCGAUUCUCUUCUGGAAACAGGGGCAGCCUGAACUAAAGGUGGUUCCUGUGGAGGUGCUCGCCAGCAAAGAUGGCACAGGAGGUGUUUGACGCUUUGCUUACAGGACUUGGAUAACCCUCCCCCUCCCCUACCAAAGGGACAGCUGUGCUAAAUACAGGAGACUUGGUGGGCAGAGAGAAAGUUGUGGGUGGCCAAGGGAUUUCUGCGUCUUUAAAAUCCCUCUCCCAUCCCUUGCCCUCGCAUCAGUCUUUGUCCUGCAAGAGAAACUUGGUGUCUGAGAAGUGACUCCCAUGGGCCCCCCUGCAGCUCCCUUUGGAGCUGAGUGACACAGCUGGCUCUGCCCAGUGGACUCCAGUUGGCAUCCCUGAUGUCCUUUCUCUGCAGAAUUCUUCUGUGAAAUGGGCCAGAGUCACUCACCUUCCCGGCCAAGGCAACUUUGAGACCAAUGGCAACAGUUUUUCGAGAACUUUGGAAGCAGUAGAGUUGUGUACCCACUUGCUAACAGGCUAAAUCUUAGGGCCUCCCUAACCCACAGGAUUCUGGGCGUGUGGAUCUGGAGGCCAGGGGGUGGCUUCCUGCUGGCGCACAGCAUUAAUGACCAGCGAAUGUUCAAAUGCGUGAGACGCUACAUCCCUUUCCUGCUGGCCAGCUGCCUGGUCCUUCUGAGGGCUUCCAGGAGCCCGUAGGUGACUUUCAAACUCAGCUAUGCUCCUGAUUUGAAACCACUGGUUCUCAGCCGAGGGUGGUUUUGUCCCCCUACCCAGCACCCCAGGAGCCAUUUGCAGAGUCUGGAGGUAUUUUCGCUUGAGGGGAGGGUGCUAUAAGCAUCUAGUGGUAGAGAGCCGGGAUGCUGCUAAACAUCCUACAAUGCACAGGACAGGCCCCCACUACAAAGGAUUAUCUAGCCCCAAAUGUCUACAGCGUCAGGAUUGAGAAACUGUGCUUUUUUUCAACCUCUGCUCCAGGUUGAGACAAGCGUGAACCCUCAUCACCCCCCCGCCCUCUCCCCGUUGCUUUAUUUAUCAAAGGGAGGGGGGAAAUCUGUUAUUUUUUCCAAGUGCAUUUCCCCCUGUAUCUUAUCAAGAACCACCAAGUUCAGCACACCCUUGAUUAGUCACUUCCAUUAACAGUGUUUAUUUUGGGGUUUGUGUUUAUUUUUGAAACGUGGUCACCCUCGUCCCCCCUCUCUUCCUUACGCGCUAGUGGUGUGCGGCCAGCUUUCUAGCACGGUCUCGUCCACAUUUUCCUCCAUCCAUAAACCCACUGGGCCAGCUUCUGAGGAGGGAGGGCCAGCCUCUCCUCCCUCCACUGGGGGUUGGGGGAAGGCUGCCACUCCUGGAGUUUCUCUUAAAGUGGCAAUGGGGCAAUUGUCGUCUUCCCUCUGAUUUCUCAGAUACGCUUGAAAAUCCUUUUCAUUAGUGACUCUGUGGACCAACCGACCCGUGACAGAGCUGAGCCUUUACUCCCAGCCGUCCGCGUUCCGUGAAACCGAGGACGCCCGGUGGUUUUCUCCAUUGAGUCA